AUCUAAUGAUGUGGGCAUUUAUGGAGUAAACACCUAAAGCGCUCCUAGGUCUCAAAGAAUAGUUCCCCAUCCAUUUGGGAAAAACUUGUGAUGGCUCUCCGAAGUU